rnacentral:rRNA from 1 species
UAGUUAAUACCUAGAGAUAGUGGACGUUACUCGCAGAAUAAGCACCGGCUAACUCUGUGCCAGCAGCCGCGGUAAUACAGAGGGUGCGAGCGUUAAUCGGAUUUACUGGGCGUAAAGCGUGCGUAGGCGGCUUAUUAAGUCGGAUGUGAAAUCCCCGAGCUUAACUUGGGAAUUGCAUUCGAUACUGGUGAGCUAGAGUAUGGGAGAGGAUGGUAGAAUUCCAGGUGUAGCGGUGAAAUGCGUAGAGAUCUGGAGGAAUACCGAUGGCGAAGGCAGCCAUCUGGCCUAAUACUGACGCUGAGGUACGAAAGCAUGGGGAGCAAACAGGAUUAGAUACCCUGGUAGUCCAUGCCGUAAACGAUGUCUACUAGCCGUUGG